AGAUGUAAAAGAGAAACAUGGAGCAAAGAGGAAAGGUGGAGACUGUACGUCCAAAAAAGGGCCACAUUGGAGAUAACCCCUUUAAGAUGAUGCACAAGAAAGCAUCGGAACAGUUUGCUGUUGACAAGCAGACUAAGGACAUGCAUUACUGGAACCAUGUGGUCCGAUGAGACCAAAAUAAACGUAUUUGAUUCAGAAGGUGUCAAGCGUGUGCGGUGCCAACCAGGUCCCUGAUGAGAUGCUGACCCCAAGGACCCAGAAAUUCAGUGUAUUUUGGGAGAAAAACUGUGAGCAAGUGCUGGAUUUCCCAUCCCGGUCUGUAAGGGGCUCUGGCUUCAUGUUUCAUACUAAAUAUGAUUCUUUUGUAAGCAUUACCCUUCUUUAACCAGUUGGCACUGCAGCUAUUUGGGGCUUUAAAAUGAUGUACUGCCUGGACUUCUUUUAUUGAUUAGAGUCAGAUACUAAAAGUUCUUAUUUUAUCAUUGUCAUUUCUGUAAAGGAGAUAUCUUAUGGAUAAAAACUUAUCCCCACUUCUCAUAUAUCUCUAUGGGAGAGCCGUUCGACUAUUUUCGGCUAUCCCAUAGAGAUAUAUGGAGGGGGGGUGGCGGCCCCUGCUUCUGACAGGAGUCGUGGCGUGCUGCUCCCGGGAAGUGCGGGGGCUCCAUACAGGAGAUCUCGGGGGGCCCCCUGAAAUCUAAAACGUAUUCCCUACCCGCAGGACUACAUUUUCUGUACACUAUUAUGAGGGCAGCCAUCUUGCCUGAGCUGUUUUUAACAGAAUUUAGAGAUAUGCUUUAAAGCAGGCUACAUGGACAUAGGGAACAAUAGACAGUAGCUGUACCAUUAUCAUAAAUGAGGUUUCUGGUCAUGCUCUGUGACCUUUAAAAAGGUCACUCCACAGGGAGGGGGAGACUGAGCUGUGAGCUUUAUCUAUAGUCUUCUCUAUCUACUGGAGUCACCUUUCAUCACAGACAGAACAGAAAGUCCCAGCUUUUUACGCUCAUUAGUCAGGAUAAAAGCUGUAAAAUGAUUAUUUUAAAAUAUAGAUAGUAAAAAAUCAGCAAUUUAAUUAUUUAU